ACACUACUUGUUUUGCAGCUGGUUACCCUGAGAAAUUUGGAGUAAAAUACACCUGCGUUUUAAGAUAAAAAUAAUUACAAUAAUGAUGAUAACGCAGGUUAAAAUCGAUGUUUACUAGCCAGAAGGUUCUAUCAGAAAGUGGCUGUUAAGAGAUCAAGAUGAAGAGCGUGCUUUGUGUUCUCCUCGUUCUAACCGUUUUCAUUGCGGUGUCUGAAGCUGGUUUGUGCUCGUGGGUCUGCAGAAAAGUAUGCAAUACUAAGGAUUACUGCGAAACUCUUUGCACGUUCUUGUGCACUGAUCCUCUUGAAAUAAAAAACUACAGCUUCCCAGCUUUAGAGGAUUGAAGAAAGUAAAAAAUUUUCUACAAUCUGACUUUCAACAUGAAAAUUCUACCCCACACAUAUCGAGAUUGACAAUGAAAAGUGUUCAAAUUAUUCCAGCUAAAAAGCAUUUUAAUCAAUAAAAGUUUAUUCUUCUC